rnacentral:lncRNA from 1 species
AGACCCUGUACGCUCUCACAAAGAGUAAGCCUAAGAUAGAGGCUUGUUUUAUAAGAAGGAAAAUUUGUGUUAUGAUCUCUAGAUCUUCCAAAUUGUUAAAAUAAAAUGGUGUGACCGCAGUGAUAAAGCUUACGCUUAAUUAAAAGUGAUUUCUGAUUGCCAUGUUCCUUUCACACCACAGAGACAGAGGCCACAAUGAGCACAGUCCAGAAGAAGAAGAGUGUGUUAUGUUUCCCCUUGAAGUAGAUUUGUUUCUAGUGAGAAGUUAAUGAAUUUUACUCUAUUUAGUUUUGAGAUUCUUUCCUUGAUGGAUGAAGUGCCAGGAUGCCUUCCCUCCACCCUUCAGCAGCAUGAAACCCCAGUGAACAUCUCCUAAGAGAGGGCACUAAUUCAGCCUUCAGCGAGUCUUCACAUAAUUCUGAGCAUUUCAACAUGUUUUGGAGGGUGCAGCAGGACAGGGAAAGAAGCGAGAGGAAGGAGGUAGAGAUUUCCCCUGCAGGCUGGAAUCCAUUAUUGCUGAGUCAUCUGCCUGAUGCCCAAAGUGGGUCAAACCCAUCACGGUGUGGGACAUGAGCGCCAGGACUGAGCGUGAAGACCCAGAAGGUGGUAAUACAAGACUCACUGCAAAGUGGAGGGCUCUCCUUUGACAUUCAGAGAGCAUGUUUGAGAGAGAUGAGAGGAAACCUUACAAGCCAAACCCCUAUGUGUGUGCUGUCGUAUUUGAUUCACCAACUACUGCCCAGACCUUCAAGCCAGAUACAUAAUCCUGAACUUGAUUGACCUCACAGAACAUGAAACUUGUUGGCAGGUUCCACGAUUUACCAGAUUUUACUCAACCCCUUGUUUCAGAUUUCACUUGCAAAUUUAGAGAGUAUAUUGCAUAUCUCCAUUCCAGAGUAAGAAGAAGCUUUCUCUCAGCUUCCAGCAAGUGGAGGACAAGUGGAGAGAGAGGACUAUAGACUGGCAACUACGAUGAAGGACAAUGAAGGGUUUUAAGAGAAAACCGUUGUAAGACAAAUGAAAAACUGCAAUAAAACUGCAAAAAGUACUUAUUUGAAUAAGAUA